rnacentral:pre_miRNA from 1 species
CUUCUUCUCCCUCUGUCCCAUAUUAAGUGCCGAAAUAUUACAUGUAUCUAGACGCAUUUUAGUAAAUAGAUAUGUUCAUAUUUAGACAAAUUUGAGUCACUUAAUAUGGGACAGAGGGAGUAUUAC